UGCCCAUGCUAAAUAUACAUAUUUCCUAACCGCAUUUUGAGGAACAGUUAAACUGUCUUGGCUCAUACUUUCUAAAAAGAUUCAGCCUGAAGUAGACACAGCAUGAAAAAUCUCAGCCCAACCAGUUAAAGUCUGGCAAAGUUAGAAGCAAUUGAAAACCAAGUCUUAUAAUUAAAAGUAUUGGACAACCUUAACAAGAGCUAUCUCUUCUGUGCAGCCUAUAAUACAACUGGAUUGCAUCAGGGACCGGAAGAAAGGAACACCUGCCUCUGUUAUGGCUGGCGCUGCAGCAUAAACUCAGCCCCUUUGUCUGGAGGGGACAGCCUAAGGGCACCAGCUAUUUGUGAGAGAAAAGUCUCCAGAGACCACCUGAUUCUACCCAUGGCCCUCAUUCUGCACUGGUAGCAUUUCUAUGGCGCCCCAGACAGAGUUUAAACCUGCUCUCCUAUGGCAGAGAGCAGCCAUCCUGCUUGCAUCCCUAUCCAAGCUGAAAGACCUUGCUGCUAGAGCUGCUUCCA